AACGCGAAGAACCUUACCAAGGCUUGACAUCCCAUUGACCACUCUAGAGAUAGGGUUUCCCUUCGGGGCAAUGGUGACAGGUGGUGCAUGGUUGUCGUCAGCUCGUGUCGUGAGAUGUUUGGUUCAGUCCCGCAACGAGCGCAACCCUUAUCCUUAGUUGCCAGCAUUUAGUUGGGCUCUCUAAGGAGACAGCCGGUGAAAGCCGGAGGAAGGUGGGGAUGACGUCAAAUCAUCAUGCCCCUUAUGUCUUGGGCUACACACGUGCUACAAUGGAUGGUACAAAGGGAAGCGAGACCGCGAGGUGGAGCAAAUCCCAGAAAGCCAUUCUCAGUUCGGAUUGUAGGCUGCAACUCGCCUACAUGAAGCUGGAAUCGCUAGUAAUCGCGGAUCAGCAUGCCGCGGUGAAUACGUUCCCGGGCCUUGUACACACCGCGUGUCU
rnacentral:rRNA from 1 species